GCUCCUCUCUAUGUAAACGCCAAGGAAUGGCAAACUAGACAUAGACAGUUAGGUUUAUACCUGCAAUUCAAACAUAAACUCCGGGGGAAACUAAACCUGACAAGUUUCAAUCCAACAAAAUAAAUGUAUGUUAGAGUGUCAAUUCAGAUUUUUAAUGGAAGAGAUGAGGAAUGCUUAUGCUUCUCCACCUUCAUCUCCACCAACACCACCAUCACCCCUCCCCAUCAGUGUAGGUCCUGGAAACCAAAAGUACUCCUUCUCUCCCUCUCCAUCUCCAUCUCCGCCUUUUUCGCCACCUCCUUCCAGCCACGCGUCGGCUGAAAACCUUCCACUUUUGUCUGAAAAGUUAGGUAGUCCUACUGCAAAAGUUCCUUCAGCAUUUUCAUUGGACCGCCCACGUCCUAUUGAAUUGGAUUCUAAGAGUUCAUGCCUUCAAGACUUGGUGGAAUGGUUUAUACAAAAAUGCUGCAAUUGCUGUUGCAAUUCUCCCUGAGGGCUUGAAGGACGUGCUUUCCUUUCCUGUCUUUUACUGUUCCUAAAAUUCAGGCACUCAUUUCUACUAACAAAUUUGCUUACUCCUUUUCACUCUUGAAAUGCCAUUUCACAAUAAAUCACAAUGCAGCACAAACCAUUGUAAAGUAUUUUCUAGCACAGCAUUUUUUGCGGUUUUCAUCCCUUGCACCAACUGUAUCGGUUUUUCCGCCAGAUUUACUGAAUACAAACGAUGGGAAGAAAAAAAAGUGAUGUAUGCAUUUUGUUUAUUCUUCCACUGUAACUUUGAGAGUUCAUAAUAUCAUUUUCAAUGUUUUUUUUU